GGGUGAGAUCAUACCAGCACUAAUGCACCGGAUCCCAUCAGAAACGUGCAGUUAAGCAUGCUUAGGCGAAAGUAGUACUUGGAUGGGUGACCUUCUGGGAAGUCUUCGUGUUUCACCCC
rfam:Gossypium raimondii Chr06_contig_386, whole genome shotgun sequence.